rnacentral:rRNA from 1 species
CCUACGGGAAGGCAGCAGUGGGGAAUUCUUGCGCAAUUGGGGGAAACCCUGACGCAGCAACGCCGCGUGGGUGAUGAAGGCCUUCGGGUCGUAAAGCCCUGUCAGGUGGGAAGAAUCUCAUCGGUGCCAAUACCACCGAUGCUUGACGGUACCACCGGAGGAAGCACCGGCUAACUCCGUGCCAGCAGCCGCGGUAAUACGGAGGGUGCAAGCGUUGUUCGGAAUUAUUGGGCGUAAAGCGCGUGUAGGCGGUCGGGUAAGUCAGAUGUGAAAGCCUUCUGCUUAACGGAAGAAGUGCAUUUGAAACUGCCCGGCUGGAGUACGGGAGAGGAGAGUGGAAUUCCCGGUGUAGAGGUGAAAUUCGUAGAUAUCGGGAGGAACACCAGUGGCGAAGGCGGCUCUCUGGUCCGAUACUGACGCUGAGACGCGAAAGCGUGGGGAGCAAACAGGAUUAGAUACCCUGGUAGUCCACGCCGUAAACGAUGGGCACUAGGUGUAGGAGGUAUUGACCCCUUCUGUGCCGAAGUUAACGCAUUAAGUGCCCCGCCUGGGGAGUACGGCCGCAAGGCUAAAACUCAAAGGAAUUGACGG